rnacentral:rRNA from 1 species
AGUGAACGCUGGCGGUAGGCCUAACACAUGCAAGUCGAACGGCAGCACAGUAAGAGCUUGCUCUUACGGGUGGCGAGUGGCGGACGGGUGAGGAAUACAUCGGAAUCUACUUUUUCGUGGGGGAUAACGUAGGGAAACUUACGCUAAUACCGCAUACGACCUACGGGUGAAAGCAGGGGAUCUUCGGACCUUGCGCGAUUGAAUGAGCCGAUGUCGGAUUAGCUAGUUGGCGGGGUAAAGGCCCACCAAGGCGACGAUCCGUAGCUGGUCUGAGAGGAUGAUCAGCCACCCUGGAACUGAGACACGGUCCAGACUCCUACGGGAGGCAGCAGUGGGGAAUAUUGGACAAUGGGCGCAAGCCUGAUCCAGCCAUACCGCGUGGGUGAAGAAGGCCUUCGGGUUGUAAAGCCCUUUUGUUGGGAAAGAAAAGCAGCAGGCUAAUACCCCGCUGUUCUGACGGUACCCAAAGAAUAAGCACCGGCUAACUUCGUG